UGAAUACGAGAUGCUACGGCGUCGAAGCAGUCUAUGUCAUACUUCCAAGAAAAGCUUGCACUGUCAUAAACAAAUAAUGCCUGUACCAUAACCGACACAGGUGGGUAGGUAGAGUAUACUAAGGGGCGCGAGAUAACUCUCUCUAAGGAACUCGGCAAAAUGACUCCGUAACUUCGGGAGAAGGAGUGCCUUAUUUAUAAGGUUGCAAUAACAAGAUCCAAGCAACUGUUUACCAAAAACACAGGUCUCCGCUAAGUCGUAAGACGAUGUAUGGGGGCUGACGCCUGCCCAGUGCCAGAAGGUUAAAGAAGUUGGUUAGCAUCCGCGAAGCUGAUAACUGAAGCCCUGGUGAACGGCGGCCGUAACGAUAACGGUCCUAAGGUAGCGAAAUUCCUUGUCGGGUAAGUUCCGACCCGCACGAAAGGCGUAAUGAUUUGGAUACUGUCUCGGAGAGGGGCUCGGUGAAAUAGACUUGUCUGUGAAGAUGCGGACUACCUGCACCAGGACAGAAAGACCCUAUGAAGCUUUACUGUAACCUGAAAUUGAAAUUGGACUUUACUUGCGCAGUAUAGGUGGGAGGCGUUGAGAAUAUUCUUGCGGGAUUAUUGGAGCCAUCAGUGAGAUACCACUCUUGUAAUGUUAGAUUUCUAACUUUGUAUCAUUAUCUGGUCAAAGAACAGUUUCAGGCGGGCAGUUUGACUGGGGCGGUCGCCUCCUAAACGGUAACGGAGGCGCACAAAGGUUUCCUCUGAACGGGUAGAAAUCGUAUCUAGAGUGUAAAGGCAUAAGGAAGCUUGACUGUGAGACCUACAAGUCGAGCAGGGACGAAAGUCGGUCUUAGUGAUCUGACGGUGCUGAGUGGAAAGGCCGUCACUCAACGGAUAAAAGUUACUCUAAGGAUAACAGGCUGAUCUCCCCCAAGAGUUCACAUCGACGGGGAGGUUUGGCACCUCGAUGUCGGCUCAUCGCAUCCUGGGGCGGUAGUACGUCCCAAGGGUUGGGCUGUUCGCCCAUGAAAGCGGUACGCGAGCUGGGUUCAGAACGUCGUGAGACAGUUCGGUCCAUAUCCGGUGUAGGCGUUAGAAUAUUGAGAGGAGCCUUCUUUAGUACGAGAGGACCGAGAAGGACAUACCUCUGGUGUACCAGUUAUCGUGCCAACGGUAAACGCUGGGUAGCUAUGUGUGGAGUGGAUAACCCCUGAAAGCAUCUAAGUGGGAAGCCCACCUCAAGAUAAG
rnacentral:rRNA from 1 species